AGAUCUGUUUUGGAUGGGUUCAACUAAGGUUCAAGUUUCACUAAGGUUAAGUGAUGGGUUUUUUGAUUUUCAGAUUCAUUUAGAUCUGUUUUGGAUGGGUUCAACUAAGUAAUGGGUUUUUUAUUUUCAGAUUCAUUUAGAUCUGUUUUGGAUGGGUUCAACUAAGGUUCAAGAUUCACUAAGGUUCAACUAAGUGAUGGGUGCUUGGCUGACUUGAAGCUAUCAUAUGUGGUUCUACUUUGAUGAAGUUAAUCUUACAAAAGUUGUGCUUUGAUUUUGAGAUUCCACAGAGUGAUGUAGUGAAGGUG